UACGUAGGGUGCAAGCGUUAAUCGGAAUUACUGGGCGUAAAGCGUGCGCAGGCGGUUUUUGUAAGUUUGUCGUGAAAGCCCCGGGCUCAACCUGGGAAUUGCGAUGAAGACUGCAAGGCUUGAAUCUGGCAGAGGGGGGGUAGAAUUCCACGUGUAGCAGUGAAAUGCGUAGAGAUGUGGAGGAACACCGAUGGCGAAGGCAGCCCCCUGGGGUCAAGAUUGACGCUCAUGCACGAAAGCGUGGGGAGCAAACAGG
rnacentral:rRNA from 1 species